GCGAGGGAGAAGGAGACGAUCAAAAACUGGGAAGCGGGAAUCGCAGAAUUUGGCACAUAAAAAUGAAGCGCCAAACUUCCCCACUUGCCAAUCACAGAUCAGUGUCCGUACAUCCAUCGGGGGCGCUGCACCCGCGCCUCUACUACAAAUGAAAACCCCCACUCGCUUUCCAAGCCGCGCUUCGCUCACUCUUUCACUCACUCGCCACUCCCCAACUGCUCGCGCCAUUUCUUCUUCCCACUCCUUAAAUCCCUAAAACCCUUUCCCUUCUACACUCCGUGUUUCCUCCAUUCAACUCUUCCCCUCCACGUAUUCCCCUACUUCUCUCUCUCUUCUUCAAUGGCGUCCUUUCGUUUUUCCUUUUCUUUUGCCUUUAUUUAGCCUUUGGUCUUGUGUAUUACCGCAGAUUUAUGAUUUUUUGAGCUCAAUCAUGGUUGUCAAGUCCCGGGUACUACGUUCUGCUGCCAAUGGAGAGCUGCAUUCUCCAGUAACUCCUGAGGAGAAGCCGAAACGCUCUAAAGUAGCUACACCUGGGGGAAAGAGUGCUAAAGCUGCGGCACCGGAGGGAGAUGCGGAACAUCCAUCUCCUUCUCCUAUGAGGAGGACGAGUGCUCGAAUCAUAAAGAUGAAGGCUGAGAAGAAGCUUCUAGCGCGUCAAAGAGUAGAGCUCCUUGAUGAACCCAGCAGUGGCAGCAAAAGGAAGAAGACGAACAGUAAGGUAAAAAGUAAGCGUAAUACUCCGAAUGUUAAGGAGGAGGUGAGGGAAGAUAAGGGCGAAGUGGUGGAAGAUGAGGCCGUUGUUGUUCCGGCGUCCAAAGACGUCACUAAAUCUAAAGACGGUGAUGCGCGCAAACCGAUGGAAGUGUGCGCGCCAGAAAAGAGGACUGGGGACGAUGUUGGUGCAGGUAAUAUGGUUGAGAAGAGUGACCAUGUCAAGGUGAAGGAGACUCUCAGGUUGUUCAACAAGUACUAUCUUCAUUUUGUACAGGAAGAGGAAAAGAGGUGUAAAAAAGCUGAAGUAGCUAAAAAAGCUCCCAAACGGUCAAAAUCGAAGAAGGAGGUUCCUGUAGAAGACACGAAAAACAAGUCGAAGCGACCAGAUUUGAAGGCAGUUUCUAAGAUGUUGGAGACAAAUGAAAUUUUGAACCAUGAGAAAAGAAUUGGCAACGUUCCAGGUAUCAAUAUUGGGCAUCGAUUCUAUUCACGGGCUGAAAUGGUAGCUGUUGGAUUUCACAGCCACUGGCUGAAUGGAAUUGACUACAUGGGGUUGUCAUACAGCAAAAAGUACAGUAAUUAUUCCUUCCCACUUGCGGUGGCCAUAGUUUUAUCGGGCAUGUAUGAGGAUGAUUUGGAUAAUGCUGAGGAUGUCAUUUACACUGGUCAAGGAGGGCAAAAUUUAACUGGCAAUAAACGUCAGAUUCGGGAUCAAAAAAUGGAACGUGGUAAUUUGGCUCUCAAGAAUUGUAUUGAGCAAGGUGUCCCAGUUAGAGUGGUUCGGGGGCAUGAAUCUGCCACUAGUUACUGUGGGAAACUUUACACAUAUGAUGGCUUGUAUAAGGUUAUACAGUAUUGGGCAGAAAAAGGUAUUUCUGGAUUUACUGUGUUUAAAUUUCGUCUUAGGCGGAUUGAAGGACAAUCGUUGUUGACCACAAACCAGGUUCAAUUUAUAUAUGGUCGGGUUCCCAAAUCAGUUUCAGAAAUACGUGGGUUGGUGUGUGAGGAUAUCGCUGGGGGUCAGGAGAAUAUUCCUAUUCCAGCUACUAAUUUGGUUGACGAUCCACCUGUUGCACCCAUAGGUUUCACUUAUUGUAAAUCCAUUAAAGUUGCACGUGGUGUGAAACUUCCUCCGAAUGCUAAUGGAUGUGACUGUAAGGAAUCAUGUAUCACUUCAAGGACAUGUUCGUGUGCUAAGCUUAAUGGAUCAGACUUCCCAUAUGUGCAACGUGAUGGUGGAAGACUUAUAGAAGCCAAGGAUGUUGUUUACGAAUGUGGUCCCAAUUGUGGUUGUGGUCUUGGUUGUGUGAAUCGAACUUCUCAGAGGGGGAUCAAAUAUCGACUUGAGGUUUUCCGAACACCAAAGAAAGGGUGGGCUGUUAGAUCCUGGGAUUUUAUACCUUCUGGCGCACCUGUUUGUGAAUACACAGGAAUACUUGCAAGGACAGAGGAUCUUGAUCAUGUAUCAGAGAAUAAUUAUAUCUUUGACAUUGAUUGUUUGCAAACAAUUAGGGGCAUUGGUGGACGAGAGAGGCGCUCAAGAGAUGCAUCCUUGCCAGCAAACAAUUCCUUGGAUGUUAUAGAUGAUCGAAGAUCUGAAAGUGUGCCAGAGUUUUGCAUUGAUGCUUGUUCCACUGGAAAUAUUGCAAGGUUUAUAAAUCAUAGUUGCGAACCUAAUCUUUUUGUUCAAUGUGUAUUGAGCGCACACCAUGACAUCAAACUUGCUAGAGUGGUACUAUUUGCUGCAGAAAACAUACCACCCCUCCAGGAACUGACAUACGACUAUGGGUAUGCACUUGAUAGCGUGUAUGGUCCAGAUGGGAAGAUAAAACAGAUGCCCUGCUUCUGUGGUGCAACUGAAUGUAGGAAACGCUUGUUUUAGUCUAGGGAAAGCCAUCAGAUGCUGGUAACGGUUGACAACAUUUUUUUAGUACCACAUACGAAGGUGACUGACAUGUUUCUGAUGCGAAAUUGCUAGUCUCUCAUCUCACCACCUUGAAUACAAAGGAUGGAAAGAUAACUUUCUUUUAGUUUCUAAAAUUGUAGUUACUAGAGAAAGAAAGUGUACAGGAUCAUAGAGAAGAAAUUGGAAUCCAAGAGGCCAGUCAACAAACAAGCUACUUCGUUCAGUAAAUGACGGCCACAAAAGGUAUAUGCUGGAAAAGAUUAUUCAAUUAAAAAACAUCAUUAUUUUCAAAGUUGAUGAUAAAAUGUCAUUUUAUAAACACUGACCUAUUGAAAUUUGGAAAAAGUAACAAUAUUCAGAGUGAAUUAAACCUGGCGAACCAAAAUUCCUCUUUA